AGCAGCCGCCGCGGUAAUACGGAGGGUGCAAGCGUUAAUCGGAAUUACUGGGCGUAAAGCGCACGCAGGCGGUUUGUUAAGUCAGAUGUGAAAUCCCCGAGCUUAACUUGGGAACUGCAUUUGAAACUGGCAAGCUAGAGUCUUGUAGAGGGGGGUAGAAUUCCAGGUGUAGCGGUGAAAUGCGUAGAGAUCUGGAGGAAUACCGGUGGCGAAGGCGGCCCCCUGGACAAAGACUGACGCUCAGGUGCGAAAGCGUGGGGAGCAAACAGGAUUAGAUACCCCUGUAGUCCCUGUCUCUUAUAC
rnacentral:rRNA from 1 species